rfam:Ashbya gossypii ATCC 10895 chromosome II, complete sequence.
GUUUAUGAUGAUUUUCCACAUUUCACGACGGUCAACUGUGUCCUGGCCUGUUAAGCCGGGACGUUGAUGAUAUGUCGCCCGUGACUGGGCGUGGUACUGAGA